rnacentral:piRNA from 1 species
UGAUGGUUUGCUUCUGACUUCAGUUUC